rnacentral:rRNA from 1 species
GACGAACGCUGGCGGCGUGCUUAACACAUGCAAGUCGAACGGAAAGGCCUCUUUCGGGGGGUACUCGAGUGGCGAACGGGUGAGUAACACGUGAGUAACCUGCCCUUGACUUUGGGAUAACUUCAGGAAACUGGGGCUAAUACCGGAUAGGAGCUCCUGCUGCAUGGUGGGGGUUGGAAAGUUUCGGCGGUUGGGGAUGGACUCGCGGCUUAUCAGCUUGUUGGUGGGGUAGUGGCUUACCAAGGCUUUGACGGGUAGCCGGCCUGAGAGGGUGACCGGCCACAGUGGGACUGAGAUACGGCCCAGACUCCUACGGGAGGCAGCAGUGGGGAAUAUUGCACAAUGGGUGGAAGCCUGAGGCAGCAACGCCGUGUGCGGGAUGACGGCCUUCGGGUUGUAAACCGCUUUCGCUCAUGACGAAGCUUUGUGUGACGGUAGUGGGUAAAGAAGCACCGGCUAACUACGUG